AACGAACGCUGGCGGCAGGCUUAACACAUGCAAGUCGAACGCCCCGCAAGGGGAGUGGCGCACGGGUGAGUAACGCGUGGGAAUAUGCCCUUCGGUUCGGAAUAACACAGGGAAACUUGUGCUAAUACCGGAUACGAUCUACGGAUGAAAGAUUUAUCGCCGAGGGAGUAGCCCGCGUAGGAUUAGCUAGUUGGUGAGGUAAUGGCUCACCAAGGCGACGAUCCUUAGCUGGUCUGAGAGGAUGAUCAGCCACACUGGGACUGAGACACGGCCCAGACUCCUACGGGAGGCAGCAGUGGGGAAUAUUGGACAAUGGGGGAAACCCUGAUCCAGCCAUGCCGCGUGAGUGAUGAAGGCCUUAGGGUUGUAAAGCUCUUUCGCCAGGGAAGAUAAUGACGGUACCUGGAAAAGAAGCCUCGGCUAACUCCGUGCCAGCCGCCGCCGUAAGAC
rnacentral:rRNA from 1 species